UACGGAGGGUGCAAACGUUGCUCGGAAUUAUUGGGCGUAAAGCGCACGUAGGCGGUUUGUUAAGUCGGAUGUGAAAGCCCCGGGCUCAACCCGGGAAGUGCAUACGAAACUGGCGGACUUGAAUAUGGAAGAGGGUCGCGGAAUUCCCGGUGUAGAGGUGAAAUUCGUAGAUAUUCGGAAGAACACCAGUGGCGAAGGCGACUUACUGGACACAUAUUGACGCUGAGGUGCGAAAGCGUGGGGAGCAAACAGG
rnacentral:rRNA from 1 species